rnacentral:rRNA from 1 species
UACGGGGGGGGCAAGCGUUGUUCGGAAUUACUGGGCUUAAAGGGUGCGUAGGCGGCUUUCUAAGUUGGUUGUGAAAACUCUGGGCUCAACCCAGAGCCUGCAUCCAAAACUGGAGAGCUUGGGUUCUGGAGGGGAAAGCGGAAUUCCUGGUGUAGCGGUGAAAUGCGUAGAUAUCAGGAGGAACACCGGUGGCGAAGGCGGCUUUCUGGACAGAUACCGACGCUGAGGCACGAAAGCUAGGGGAGCAAACGGG